rnacentral:rRNA from 1 species
CCUACGGGAGGCAGCAGUGGGGGAUAUUGUACAAUGGGGGAAACCCUGAUGCAGCGACGCCGCGUGUGGGAAGACGGUCCUCUGGAUUGUAAACCACUGUCCCCAGGGACGAAGAUGACGGUACCUGGGGAGGAAGCUCCGGCUAACUACGUGCCAGCAGCCGCGGUACUACGUAGGGAGCGAGCGUUGUCCGGAAUUACUGGGUGUAAAGGGAGCGUAGGCGGGACUGCAAGUUGGGUGUCAAAUCUACCGGCUCAACCGGUAGCCGCACUCAAAACUGCAGUUCUUGAGUGAAGUAGAGGCAGGCGGAAUUCCUAGUGUAGCGGUGAAAUGCGUAGAUAUUAGGAGGAACACCAGUGGCGAAGGCGGCCUGCUGAGCUUUUACUGACGCUGAGGCUCGAAAGUGUGGGGAGCAAACAGGAUUAGAUACCCGUGUAGUC